AUGGUCCGGGUGAUUUUUUUUAGCUGGUCUCGGAACGCCACAUUGAUUCUGGAGUCACAUGGACUUCAGAAAUUUUUGAAGGACGAUGAAAAAAAACCAACGGAUGUCACACAAGAGCAAUGGGAUCAGAAUCAAAAGCGAGUUAUGGUAUGGCUGUUGGGGUCGAUGGAGAAGACUGUUAGGGAACAAGUUGAAGGGUUUCAGUCUGCAGCUGAGGUGUGGACAAGCAUUGAGAAACAGUUCUCAGGAAAAUCGAACAAGAUGCAAGUCAGUAGGAUUUUCCAUGAAUUGAGGCAGAUCAAGCAAGAGCAGAAGACAGUGACUGAAUUUGCGGGAGAAAUCAAGAAACUCUAUAGAGACCUGGAGUAUUUUAGACCAUUUAAGGCACAUGAUCCCAGGGACGUACCCCUCCUUCGAGAGUGGUUUGAACCAUUGUUGGUUCAGACUUUUCUUGAUGGUCUGAACUCAGAGUUCAAUCUCCGUUCCCAACUCAUACAAGCCACAGCAGAUUGGCCUACAUUGGAUCAAGCCAUCUCAAGUAUACUUGAGGAAGAAACACGGCUGGCCAAUCAGAUCACAACUUCACAAACAAAUGUUGAUAGCAGAGCUGCACUAUCUUCAGUGAAGCAAAUUCAGUCUCCUGGUACUUCAAGAAAUGAGCAAGCAAAUGCUACUUGA
rnacentral:rRNA from 1 species